UGUUCAUUCGUUUAGGCGCUACGAUGCCACAGACAGAUACACAUAUACACACGUCAAACUUAUAACACCCCUCUUUUUGGGUCGGGGGUUAAAAAGUGCGACUCUUUAUAGGUAAUUUUUGUUACAAGUUGUAUUAGAGCUGUCUUUCGUAUUGUCAUUUUUUAACUUUUUGUAGUUUUUUUUUUAUAACAGGUUGGAUUCUUUAUAAUUUUUGUCAUUAUAAAAGUAUAUUGUCGUCCGUCUUUCGAAUGUCUCAAGUGUAACAGAAAAAUUGCAUUUUUUUUUUUUUUUUUUUUUUCGUUACGCCCGUUUUUAUUAGAAUGUCUUUUUUUUUUUUGCAUCUGUUUUUUCAUAUGCCCAUAGAAUAUAGCCCUUGCGAUUGUUACAAAAAAAAAAAAAAAAAAAAUUUGACAGGUAGCAAUGUCCUAUAUAUAGCACAAGUGAAGGAUAAAAUCCGAGAAACCGUGAAUUGGAGAAUUGCGUUCACGACCGCAUAAAGUUAGCGUUUAUUACUAAUACAAAUCAUAGAUGGCGCUGUCCAGUCAUUAGGUUGCAAUUUUUUCACUUUCGGUCGAUUUAUUAUAGAAGAUAUAUUGUAUAAGUUGUGAAGCUUUCAUGCAAGUAAACAUUUUCAUCUCCCCUACUUUCAAAAAUUUGCUGUUUCAGAUAGUAAUUAUUUUCUCCUAUUGAUAAUUAUUUUAUUUUUUUCUCUUUUGUUCAAAGGUCAAAGGGUCACAUCUGAGAACUCUACGGGAACAACUCCACAGGUCCACGGGCGACGGUCACCGGCCACGCUAGCUUAGCUGCCGUAACGUCAAAGGGUCACAUCUGAGAACUCUACGGGAACAACUCCACAGGUCCACGGGCGACGGUCACCGGCCACGCUAGCUUAGCUGCCGUAACGUCAAAGGGUCACAUCUGAGAACUCUACGGGAACAACUCCACAUGUCCACGGGCGACGGUCACCGGCCACGCUAGCUUAGCUGCCGUAACGUCAAAGGGUCACAUCUGAGAACUCUACGGGAACAACUCCACAGGUCCACGGGCGACGGUCACCGGCCACGCUAGCUUAGCUGCCGUAACGUAAGCGGGUAUAAUUAUGCCUAAGCACCUAUCCUAUAGAUAGAUUAGAUAUAGACAAUAGUCAGUACGAAUCCGUACCUACAUACAAAGAGAUUGGGGUGGUUCUAAGAUUGUUUGUGUCCCACCUGACUAACAUACCUAUCCGACCGCUAUGAAUUGUACCACAUGAACGAUUGGAACCAUUAUUUAAGAUAUCCGUAACCAGUAUGCCGCCAGUAUGUAUAUGCAGUCGGUCACCCGUCCAGGGUCACUCAACUCACACUGAAACACACAUGUACACACACUUAAAUAUCGACACGGGAUAAUUACACGGGCUACUGAAUUUAGUCAAUUGUGACGUCACUACCACGUUAAAACUUUCAACAACAUUAUGCGAAUUGAUAAGUUUCAAUUUUAUUGCCCGCGUAGUAAGCGCAGCUUUUACAGCUAGUAAGUAAGGGCAGGACAAGGACAACAUACGUAAGCUGAUAUAAUUGCAAACCCCAAUAUCCCCAGCACACGAAGUAGUUUCCCCAU